GUCUAUUUUCCUUUUUCUUUGUUUUCUCCCACUGAAGGAAGCAAUAAAAGUGAUGGAACUUGUAGAUUGUGCUAUCGCUUUUGUGCUUUGGGUUCAAAGUUCAUUGGUUCUUUACUUGAUAGAUAAUCCCAUUUGGCGAUUUGAAUUUCUAUCUAAUAUCUAGCUGCUAAUAAUAAUAGAUAGAUCUGUAGUUGCUAAUUUCCUUCCUCUAUAUAUUAAUGUAUGUUCAUUUAUUUGUUUUGAUGCAUCUAAUUGACAUUCUCCGGUUCAUUUUUAUUUAUUUAAUUUUAGCUCCU
rnacentral:misc_RNA from 1 species